ensembl:snRNA U2 U2 spliceosomal RNA
AUCGCUUCUCAGCCUUUUGGCUAAGAUCAAGUGUAGUAUCAGUUCUUAGCAGUAAAAUGAGGCUAAUGGCAAAACUAUCCAUUAUAUGAAGGACAAAGGAAACAACA